AUUGAACGCUGGCGGCAGGCCUAACACAUGCAAGUCGAACGAGUGGCGGACGGGUGAGUAAUGUCUGGGCAACUGCCCGAUGGCGGGGGAUAACUACUGGAAACGGUAGCUAAUACCGCAUACCAUCGGAUGUGCCCAGCUGGGAUUAGCUAGUCGGUGGGGUAACGGCUCACCUAGGCGACGCGCCCUAGCUGGUCUGAGAGGAUGACCAGCCACACUGGAACUGAGACACGGUCCAGACUCCUACGGGAGGCAGCAGUGGGGAAUAUGGCACAAUGGGCGCAAGCCUGAUGCAGCCAUGCCGCGGGUAUGAAGAAGGCCGUCGGGUUGUAAAGUACGUGCAGCGAGGAGGCGUUACUCGCAGAAGAAGCAUCGGCUAACUCCGUGCCAGCAGCCGCGGUAAUUC
rnacentral:rRNA from 1 species